ensembl:lncRNA
AUGAAUUACAUUCUUUAUCUAAAAAUAACAUGGCAGAAUGCCACACAAAGGCCACUGAGCUCAAGUCCCCUUCAUCUCUUCUCCACUUCCCGGUCCUCUUGUACUUCUGUGCUAGUUCAGUCAGAAGCCAAAGAAAUGUCAGGGGUGAGUUCAAUAAGGCUGGGUAAUUGCGAUUCUGUCUUCUUGUCCGUUGGACUGAAUCAUCUUCCAUUAGAGGAGCGGUGGGGGGGCCCUUACCCAGGGCCAAAGAGCAAUCUAAAUCCUCAACGCCUGUUAAAGGCACUGCAAGUCAUCUCCAUACAAACACAAGGAAAAUCCACCAACAUGCACAAACAUUUAUUUUGUUGUUCUUUAUCUUUUGUUUGUACCUUUUUUUUGCCUAUAGAAUGGUCGAUAUAAACCUUUAUUGAAAAGAACUUGCAGAUUUUUAGAGACAGACUUUGAGAGCAACCUGAGGUUAAGUGUAAUGUUUAGAAAUGUUUAAUGUAUUGCCCUGGCCAAGGUUCAAAUCUCAGCCCAGAUGCAUAAGCACAACACAUUCACCCUCAGAAAAUCUGAAUUGUUAAGUGCAAUUCUGAUGCAAGUUUACACAUUCUUUAUGCUUGUAUUUCUUUAUUCAGCACAUGUUGCUGAUUUUGUGUUCAGUAACCACCAGAAAUGCUGAAAUGUACUUCAAACAUUGCUAAAAGCUAUUUUAUUUUGGUGUUGAGAAUUCCCACAUUUUCAGUUGUCCAGAAUCACUUUUGAAACAUCUGGCUUUUGUAUUAGAUGUGAAGGGACAUCUCUUGUACACAAUGACAUGCUUGUCACUGUUGAAGUUUGAUAGGACCAGGCAGUGUUCACGGUACUAGAAGGGGUCCCUCUGUAAUGUAAUGUAGUUCUGUGGAAAAACGUACAAUACUGCCAUCUGCUGACGUGAAUUGGAACCAAAUUUAUGAAAGCGUUUCAUGAAGGGUCAAAAUGUGCCAGUUUACCCGAUAUAUAUAAUAAAUGUAUAAUAAUACAUUUCA